rnacentral:rRNA from 1 species
AUUGAACGCUGGCGGCAUGCCUUACACAUGCAAGUCGAACGGUAACGGGCCUUCGGGUGCCGACGAGUGGCGAACGGGUGAGUAAUGUAUCGGAACGUACCUUUCAGUGGGGGAUAACGUAGCGAAAGUUACGCUAAUACCGCAUAUUCUGUGAGCAGGAAAGCAGGGGAUCGCAAGACCUUGCGCUGAUUGAGCGGCCGAUAUCAGAUUAGCUAGUUGGUGAGGUAAAGGCUCACCAAGGCGACGAUCUGUAGCGGGUCUGAGAGGAUGAUCCGCCACACUGGAACUGAGACACGGUCCAGACUCCUACGGGAGGCAGCAGUGGGGGAAUUUUGGACAAUGGGGGCAACCCUGAUCCAGCCAUGCCGCGUGAGUGAAGAAGGCCUUCGGUUGU